GAAUUUUGGCCAACGGGGGCAACCCUGAUCCAGCCAUCCCGCGUGUGCGAUGAAGGCCUUCGGGUUGUAAAGCACUUUUGGCAGGGAAGAAAAGGCUCUGGCUAAUACCUGGACCUGCUGACGGUACCUGCAGAAUAAGCCCCGGCCAACUACGUGCCAUCAUCCGCGGUAAUCCGUAGGGUGCAAGCGUUAAGCGGAAGUACUGGGCGUAAAGCGUGCGCAGGCGGUUCGGCAAGAAGGAUGUGAAAUCCCAGGGCUUAACCUUGGAACUGCAUUCUUAACUGCCGGGCUAGAGUAUGUCAGAGGGGGGUGGAAGUCCGCGUGUAGCAGUGAAAUGCGUAGAGAUGCGGAGGAAUACCGAUGGCGAAGGCAGCCCCCUGGGAUAAUACUGACGCUCAUGCACGAAAGCGUGGGGAGCAAAC
rnacentral:rRNA from 1 species